GAGAAUUUUUUUUUUACUACAUUUUUGGCAUAUUUUUUGAUGGAUUCCAAGUUUUAAUGAAGAAGAUAUUAGAAGUUGAAGUCAGUGCUUUAAAUCUAAAGGUAUUAAGUGACCUGAUUUACUAGUAGUUGUAUUUUGAGCUAUAUCUUUAGCAAUUUGACAAGAUUUUGGCUCAAAAUUUUCUAGAUUGUUUUAUAAUCAUGUUAAUAAACUUUAUAUAUAAAUUUUGUGGCAUUUGGAUUUUUUUUUUGAAAUAUGAGAAAAUUAGUUUUUAGGUGCUUAUAGAUUAGGAUUUAGAGUAUUUUCUAAGGUUUCUAAGAUGCCAAAAGAUCGAUAAUAGAUUUAUAGUUUAUUUUUUUGUGGUAAAGCUUAAAGAUAGAAUCUGUGUUAUAUUGAAAUUUUAAAAAAAUUAAACGAUUUGAUCAAGGGUAAUAAUAUCCUUUGUGGGAAGAAAAUAUUUUGAAGAGUUUUGUUAUAAUUUGAGCUUUUGUGCAAAAUAAAGGGAUUUUUGGGAGCUUAGAAAUCAUAUAUGAGCCAAAGCUAAAU
rnacentral:lncRNA from 1 species